UACGUAGGGUGCGAGCGUUGUCCGGAAUUACUGGGCGUAAAGCGUGCGCAGGCGGUUGUGUAAGACAGAUGUGAAAUCCCCGGGCUCAACCUGGGAACUGCAUUUGUGACUGCACAGCUGGAGUGCGGCAGAGGGGGAUGGAAUUCCGCGUGUAGCAGUGAAAUGCGUAGAUAUGCGGAGGAACACCGAUGGCGAAGGCAAUCCCCUGGGCCUGCACUGACGCUCAUGCACGAAAGCGUGGGGAGCAAACAGG
rnacentral:rRNA from 1 species